rfam:Prunus persica cultivar Lovell chromosome G4, whole genome shotgun sequence.
GAGCAAAGGCGCUAAAACUUGAAAGAAUAGCGCAAUUUGCAUUGAAGGUUGGCGAUAACGAAAAGCGAUUCUCCGUGCCUGUCAAAUAUUUGAUAUUGACUUUGGCCUCGAACAAGUCGCUACAUU